rnacentral:rRNA from 1 species
GUGGGGAAUAUUGCACAAUGGAGGAAACUCUGAUGCAGCGACGCCGCGUGAGCGAAGAAGUAUUUCGGUAUGUAAAGCUCUAUCAGCAGGGAAGAUAAUGACGGUACCUGACUAAGAAGCUCCGGCUAAAUACGUGCCAGCAGCCGCGGUAAUACGUAUGGAGCAAGCGUUAUCCGGAUUUACUGGGUGUAAAGGGAGUGUAGGUGGCAAAGCAAGUCAGUAGUGAAAAUCCGGGGCUCAACCUCGGAACUGCUAUUGAAACUGUUUAGCUAGAGUGCAGGAGAGGUAAGUGGAAUUCCUAGUGUAGCGGUGAAAUGCGUAGAUAUUAGGAGGAACACCAGUGGCGAAGGCGGCUUACUGGACUGUAACUGACACUGAGGCUCGAAAGCGUGGGGAGCAAACAGG